AUACGUAGGUGACAAGCGUUAUCCGGAUUUACUGGGCGUAAAGGGCGUGUAGGCGGUCUUGCAAGUCAGAAGUGAAAUUCCUGAGCUCAACUCGGGCGCUGCUUCUGAAACUGCAGGACUUGAGUGCUGGAGGGGAUAGCGGAAUUCUUCGUGGAGCGGUAAAAUGCGCAGAAAUUGGGAGGAACACCGGUGGCGAAGGCGACGAUCUGGACGGUAACUGACGCGGAGGCGCGAAAGCGUCGGAAGCAAACAGGAUUAGAUACCCUGGGAGUCCACGCCGUAAACGAUGAAUACUAGGUGUAGGGGGUAUCGACUCCCUCUGUGCCGAAGUUAACACAAGAAGUAUUCCGCCUGGGGAGUACGGCCGCAAGGUUGAAACUCAAAGGAAUUGACGGGG
rnacentral:rRNA from 1 species